rnacentral:rRNA from 1 species
UACGGGGGGGGCAAGCGUUGUUCGGAAUUACUGGGCGUAAAGGGCUCGUAGGCGGCCAACUAAGUCGGACGUGAAAUCCCUCGGCUUAACCGGGGAACUGCAUCCGAUACUGGAGGGCUUGAGUUUGGGAGAGGGAUGCGGAAUUCCAGGUGUAGCGGUGAAAUGCGUAGAUAUCUGGAGGAACACCGGUGGCGAAGGCGGCAUCCUGGACCAACACUGACGCCGAGGAGCGAAAGCCAGGGGAGCAAACGGG